UGCUGGAGGUAUCAGAAGUGCGAAUGCUGACAUAAGUAACGAUAAAGCGGGUGAAAAGCCCGCUCGCCGGAAGACCAAGGGUUCCUGUCCAACGUUAAUCGGGGCAGGGUGAGUCGACCCCUAAGGCGAGGCCGAAAGGCGUAGUCGAUGGGAAACGGGUUAAUAUUCCCGUACUUGGUGUUACUGCGAAGGGGGGACGGAGAAGGCUAUGUUGGCCGGGCGACGGUUGUCCCGGUUUAAGCGUGUAGGUGUGUGUUCCAGGUAAAUCCGGUUCACUUUAACACUGAGGCGUGACGACGAGGCACUACGGUGCUGAAGCAACAAAUGCCCUGCUUCCAGGAAAAGCCUCUAAGCAUCAGGUAACAUCAAAUCGUACCCCAAACCGACACAGGUGGUCAGGUAGAGAAUACCAAGGCGCUUGAGAGAACUCGGGUGAAGGAACUAGGCAAAAUGGUGCCGUAACUUCGGGAGAAGGCACGCUGACACGUAGGUGAAGUGAUUUACUCAUGGAGCUGAAGUCAGUCGAAGAUACCAGCUGGCUGCAACUGUUUAUUAAAAACACAGCACUGUGCAAACACGAAAGUGGACGUAUACGGUGUGACGCCUGCCCGGUGCCGGAAGGUUAAUUGAUGGGGUCAGCGCAAGCGAAGCUCCUGAUCGAAGCCCCGGUAAACGGCGGCCGUAACUAUAACGGUCCUAAGGUAGCGAAAUUCCUUGUCGGGUAAGUUCCGACCUGCACGAAUGGCGUAAUGAUGGCCAGGCUGUCUCCACCCGAGACUCAGUGAAAUUGAACUCGCUGUGAAGAUGCAGUGUACCCGCGGCAAGACGGAAAGACCCCGUGAACCUUUACUAUAGCUUGACACUGAACAUUGAGCCUUGAUGUGUAGGAUAGGUGGGAGGCUUUGAAGCGUGGACGCCAGUCUGCGUGGAGCCAACCUUGAAAUACCACCCUUUAAUGUUUGAUGUUCUAACGUGGACCCGUAAUCCGGGUUGCGGACAGUGUCUGGUGGGUAGUUUGACUGGGGCGGUCUCCUCCUAAAGAGUAACGGAGGAGCACGAAGGUUGGCUAAUCCUGGUCGGACAUCAGGAGGUUAGUGCAAUGGCAUAAGCCAGCUUGACUGCGAGCGUGACGGCGCGAGCAGGUGCGAAAGCAGGUCAUAGUGAUCCGGUGGUUCUGAAUGGAAGGGCCAUCGCUCAACGGAUAAAAGGUACUCCGGGGAUAACAGGCUGAUACCGCCCAAGAGUUCAUAUCGACGGCGGUGUUUGGCACCUCGAUGUCGGCUCAUCACAUCCUGGGGCUGAAGUAGGUCCCAAGGGUAUGGCUGUUCGCC
rnacentral:rRNA from 1 species